GGGGAUAUGGCGCAGUUGGUAGCGCGUUUGAAUGGCAUUCAAAAGGUCACGGGUUCGACUCCCGUUAUCUCCACCA
rnacentral:tRNA from 1 species